rnacentral:rRNA from 1 species
UACGUAGGUGGCAAGCGUUGUUCGGAAUAACUGGGCGUAAAGGAUGCGUAGGCGGUUAAACAAGUUAUAUGUUAAAUAUAUAGGCUUAACCUGUAGAAAGCAUAUAAAACUGUUUAACUAGGGUGCAGGAGAGGUAAGUGGAUUUCCUAGUGUAGCGGUGAAAUGCGUAGAGAUUAGGAAGAACACCAGUGGCGAAGGCGACUUACUGGACUGUAACUGACGCUGAGGCAUGAGAGCAUGGGGAGCAAACAGG